GGGGGGAACCCUGAUCCAGCCAUGCCGCGUGUGUGAAGAAGGCCUUUUGGUUGUAAAGCACUUUAAGCGAGGAGGAGGCUACUGGUAUUAAUACUACCGGAUAGUGGACGUUACUCGCAGAAUAAGCACCGGCUAACUCUGUGCCAGCAGCCGCGGUAAUACAGAGGGUGCGAGCGUUAAUCGGAUUUACUGGGCGUAAAGCGUGCGUAGGCGGCUUUUUAAGUCGGAUGUGAAAUCCCUGAGCUUAACUUAGGAAUUGCAUUCGAUACUGGGAGGCUAGAGUAUGGGAGAGGAUGGUAGAAUUCCAGGUGUAGCGGUGAAAUGCGUAGAGAUCUGGAGGAAUACCGAUGGCGAAGGCAGCCAUCUGGCCUAAUACUGACGCUGAGGUACGAAAGCAUGGGGAGCAAACAGGAUUAGAUACCCUGGUAGUCCAUGCCGUAAACGAUGUCUACUAGCCGUUGGAGCCUUUGAGGCUUUAGUGGCGCAGCUAACGCGAUAAGUAGACCGCCUGGGGAG
rnacentral:rRNA from 1 species